rnacentral:rRNA from 1 species
GAUGAACGCUGGCGGCGUGCCUAAUACAUGCAAGUAGAACGCUGAAGCUUGGUGCUUGCACCGAGCGGAUGAGUUGCGAACGGGUGAGUAACGCGUAGGUAACCUGCCUCUUAGCGGGGGAUAACUAUUGGAAACGAUAGCUAAUACCGCAUAAAAGUCGAUAUCGCAUGAUAUUGAUUUGAAAGGUGCAAAUGCAUCACUAAGAGGUGGACCUGCGUUGUAUUAGCUAGUUGGUGAGGUAACGGCUCACCAAGGCGACGAUACAUAGCCGACCUGAGAGGGUGAUCGGCCACACUGGGACUGAGACACGGCCCAGACGCCUACGGGAGGCAGCAGUAGGGAAUCUUCGGCAAUGGGGGCAACCCUGACCGAGCAACGCCGCGUGAGUGAAGAAGGGUUUCGGAUCGUAAAGCUCUGUUGUAAGAGAAGAACGAGUGUGAGAGUGGAAAGUUCACACUGUGACGGUAACUUACCAGAAAGGGACGGCUAACUACGUG